UACGGAGGGGGUUAGCGUUGUUCGGAAUUACUGGGCGUAAAGCGCGCGUAGGCGGAUAAGAAAGUUGGGGGUGAAAUCCCGGGGCUCAACCCCGGAACUGCCUCCAAAACUACUAGUCUAGAGUUCGAGAGAGGUGAGUGGAAUUCCGAGUGUAGAGGUGAAAUUCGUAGAUAUUCGGAGGAACACCAGUGGCGAAGGCGGCUCACUGGCUCGAUACUGACGCUGAGGUGCGAAAGUGUGGGGAGCAAACAGG
rnacentral:rRNA from 1 species